AAAUGCGAUAAGUAAUGUGAAUUGCAGAAUUCAGUGAAUCAUCGAAUCUUUGAACGCACAUUGCGCCCAUUAGUAUUCUAGUGGGCAUGCCUGUUCGAGCGUCAUUUCAACCCCUAAGCACAGCUUAUUGUUGGGCGUCUACGUCUGUAGUGCCUCAAAGACAUUGGCGGAGCUGCAGCAGUCCUCUGAGCGUAGUAAUUCUUUAUCUCGCUUCUGUUAGGCGCUGCCCCCCCGGCCGUAAAACCCCCAAUUUUUUCUGGUUGACCUCGGAUCAGGUAGGAAUACCCGCUGAACUUAAGC
rnacentral:misc_RNA from 1 species